rnacentral:rRNA from 1 species
CGGGGCGUAGUUUAGCUAGCUAGAACAUUUCCUUUACACCGAGAAGACAUCCGUG